rnacentral:rRNA from 1 species
GUGCCAGCAGCCGCGUUAAUACGUAGGGGGCGAGCGUUACCCGGAUUCACUGGGCGUAAAGCGGGUGUAGGCGGCUCGGUAAGUCGGGUGUGAAAUCCCACGGCUCAACCGUGGAAUUGCGCCCGAAACUGCCGAGCUUGGGGCCGGUAGAGGGAGACGGAACUGCCGGUGUAGGGGUGAAAUCCGUAGAUAUCGGCAGGAACGCCGGUGGGGAAGCCGGUCUCCUGGGCCGCGCCCGACGCUGAGGCCCGAAAGCUAGGGGAGCAAACCGGAUAAGAUACCCGGGUAGUCCUAGCCGUAAACGAUGCCCACUAGGUGUGGGGGAGAAUUCCUCCGUGCGUAGCUAACGCGUUAAGUGGGCCGCCUGG